CAGCCACCCAAGCUGCAGGUGUGGAUCCGAGCCUCCCUGUGCUCUUAGGGGAGGGCCAGGAGCAGGGAGGAUCUGCCUUCCCGGGUGCCAGUGUGGCUGCUGCCGCCCUCCUAGGUGCAGGAGCCGGGUGUCUCUGCAGCCUGCACCUUUGGAGGCCCCAGGAAGGAAACCCCUCUCCCCUAUCUUUGCAGGCUCAAAGAUGUCUGCCCGGACUCUCUCCAUUCCCGGCAUCUGCUCCCAUCUCCAAGCAGGGUUGGGGUCGAGCCCCAGGGCCAUGAAUGGCAGCAGGAGGCAGAGUUCUGAACGGAAUGGGUCCUCAGUAAGGCCUCACCUUUGGGCCAGGGAGAGCCUGAAGGCUGGGCUCUUCUGGGCCCUCCCAUGGUCAUUCAUGGGCUAGUAAGCAUGCACUUCUUCCCCUCUGAGGUCCAUAAAAGCCCUGAGCUCAGCCAGAGGAGGGCAGAGGAUGGACAGAGGAUGAAGAGGGCAGAGAGAUGACGGGACCCGACGACCACUAGCUGUAGAUAGCUGCAGAGAGGAGCAGAUAGCUGCAGAGAUGAGUACCAUCUCAGCUGAUAGCUGAGGAUGAUGGGAAGACAAGCUGCCCAGAGGAGUACCCUCUCUGCUGAGGCUGCAGACAGUGACCUGCUGGCAGAGAGAAGCUGCCUCCUCUGCUGAGAACUUCAGAGACCUGCAGAGACAUGGGAAUGACUUGCCUGUGGAGAGGAGACACCCUCUCGAGGGCCUCCUCUCUGCUAGGAGCUGAACACUCUGCUGGACGAACUGCCUACAGAGAGGAGCUACCCACUCCUCUGAGCUAUCCUAACACUAAAUAAAACUCUUCUACACCCUUCACUUGUCUGCGUACCUCAUUCUUUCUGGAUGCAGGACAAGGGCUCAGGCAAAAGUGAUGUGGCCACAGAGGUUUCCAGCCAGAAAAAUCAACACCCAGAGAUCCCAUAACACUUGAUCCAGUCAAACAUACCUCAUUGUAUA
rnacentral:lncRNA from 1 species